AACCCGAUCCAACUUGAUCGUUUCUGUGCAAUGGCAGCAGCCCAACGAUCUAUUUCGAUCAGGUCCC
rnacentral:pre_miRNA from 1 species